rnacentral:rRNA from 1 species
AUUGAACGCUGGCGGCAGGCCUAACACAUGCAAGUCGAACGGUAACAGGAAGAAGCUUGCUUCUUUGCUGACGAGUGGCGGACGGGUGAGUAAUGUCUGGGAAACUGCCUGAUGGAGGGGGACAACUACUGGAAACGGUAGCUAAUACCGCAUAACGUCGCAAGACCAAAGAGGGGGACCUUCGGGCCUCUUGCCAUCGGAUGUGCCCAGAUGGGAUUAGCUAGUAGGUGGGGUAACGGCUCACCUAGGCGACGAUCCCUAGCUGGUCUGAGAGGAUGACCAGCCACACUGGAACUGAGACACGGUCCAGACUCCUACGGGAGGCAGCAGUGGGGAAUAUUGCACAAUGGGCGCAAGCCUGAUGCAGCCAUGCCGCGUGUAUGAAGAAGGCCUUCGGGUUGUAAAGUACUUUCAGCGGGGAGGAAGGGAGUAAAGUUAAUACCUUUGCUCAUUGACGUUACCCGCAGAAGAAGCACCGGCUAACUCCGUG